rnacentral:rRNA from 1 species
GAUGAACGCUGGCGGCGUGCUUAACACAUGCAAGUCGAACGGGAAACUUUUCAUUGAAGCUUCGGCAGAUUUGGUCUGUUUCUAGUGGCGGACGGGUGAGUAACGCGUGGGUAACCUGCCUUAUACAGGGGGAUAACAACCAGAAAUGGUUGCUAAUACCGCAUAAGCGCACAGGACCGCAUGGUCCGGUGUGAAAAACUCCGGUGGUAUAAGAUGGACCCGCGUCUGAUUAGCUAGUUGGUGGGGUAAUGGCCCACCAAGGCGACGAUCAGUAGCCGGCCUGAGAGGGUGAACGGCCACAUUGGGACUGAGACACGGCCCAAACUCCUACGGGAGGCAGCAGUGGGGAAUAUUGCACAAUGGGGGAAACCCUGAUGCAGCGACGCCGCGUGAAGGAUGAAGUAUUUCGGUAUGUAAACUUCUAUCAGCAGGGAAGAAAAUGACGG